rnacentral:lncRNA from 1 species
GCAAGCAGACAUGUAUGCAUGGAAGCAACACUCAAAGAAGAUAUUCACUGAGACAGGGAAGGAAAAUGGAGCAAAUAAGUAGAGUGCGGAUAAGUGAAGGGAACAGACAACAUGUUGGGCAGAAGUUAUCAGACCUAGUUAAAACAAAACUUUAGCUCUUACUGUACUAAACCCCAAAAUAUAAUCAACCUCAUGGAGAGGUUUCAGAACUAUUAAGCAUCCAAACAAUAGUACACAUGCAUUGAGACAGGGAGAGGGGAAUAAGGGAAAGACAUGCUAAUUUGAACUAAUAGAUCAGUGAAUAACAUGCUAAUGACAAAAAUAGCAACAAAACCAUUGAUAAAAGCACACAAGGAAUAAUAUGAAUUGCAGAAUUAAUAUGAACAUGUUGUUUUGGAGAGUGUAUCUCAAAUGGGGAAAAUACCAGUUGCAAAAAUAGGAUAUGAUAGCAAUGUAAUAGUGAACGAAGGGAGAUAAAAGUGUGCAAAGGAUGAGGGCAGCAAUACAGGAGUAGUAGCAGCAGGAAGAUAAUAGCAGCAAUAUGAGAAUAGCAGCAGUAAUGUGGGAAUAGUAGUAGCAACAGACCCAAAUAGAACCCAGCAAUGCAAAGUAACCAACCAAAUUACUCAAUCUUGGCUGUUAGCCAAUUAAGUGUUCAAAGAA